AUGUCUAGCCCACCAGCAACACCUCCAACGGACUCAACUGAUGAGCAAAGUCCAUCACCACCACCAUCUAGUCCACCAGUAGCUCUAUCAAGUCCUCCACCACCAUCAUCGAGUACACCACCGGCUCCAUCCAUUGCCACACCACCUUUGUCUAGUCCCCCUGCUACACCUCCAACGUACCAAGCUGAUGACCAGUCCCCUCCACCUCCACCUUCAUAUAGUUCGCCACCGACAGUUUUAGCUAGUCCUCCACCACCACCAUUGAGUCCACCAGCAAUGGCACCAACCACUAGAGCACCUCCUCCAUCUACUUUCCCAUCGCCUAUGUCUAGUCCACCAGCAAUACCUCCGACCAACCAAGGUAACCACCCACCGCCAUCAUCACCAUUAAGUCCACCUACCACACCUCCGAUGUACCAAGUUAACCAACCACCACCACCACAAUUUAGUCCCCCUGCCACACCUCCGACCUAUCAAGGUAAUGCCCCACCACCGGCAUCGGCACCAGCACCACUUACUACCUCAGCAACAGCACCGCCACCUGGUGCCCCUACUGGCAAUGGAUGGGUGCAAGUUCAGAACUUUCAUGACGCCCUAUACUGGCAAAUCGGGCGCUUUGUGGUGUUCAAGUUGGUAAACAAGAAGGACAACUCCCUUGUUGAUGUGCUCUAUGUGAGCAUGCAACCUGCAGGAAAGGGCAACAACUACUUUCUUGUGAUAAAAGUAGUAGAUGGAUAUAAGAAGGUCGGCAAGUAUCAUGUGCUCCUAUGGGGUGUGCCCGGGUCAGCAGAUGAAGCAUGGAAAGUAUAUUGGCUCAAAUUUGUAGGAUGA
rnacentral:rRNA from 1 species